rnacentral:rRNA from 1 species
UUGUUGUACCGAUCGACAUGGAAGCGCCUAAAGGUCGCCUGAUCCUGCCACAAGUGCAGACGAUCCGCGAUUUGCUGGACGGUGACGCGUAUUGCAUGGUCGUCAAGGAACGUGAGUUGAGAGAUGCAUUGGCACAACUCAGGCGUCCGCCAGCCCUCGUCGUGACGGACUCGCAGGCGUUUCUCAAGGUGGCGGCCGACACGCCGGAUGACAUUCCCAUGACGUCGUUUUCCAUUCUAUUUGCCCGCGCGAAGGGCGAUCUGGUCGAAUUCGUCCGUGGCGCCGUGGCAAUAGACAAAUUGAAAUCAGGAGAUCAAGUGUUGG